GUUCGGACUGCAGGCUGCAACCCGCCUGCACGAAGCCGGAGUUGCUAGUAAUCGCGAAUCAGAAUGUCGCGGUGAAUGCGUUCCCGGGUCUUGUACACACCGCCCGUCACACCAUGGAAGUUGGGGGUGCCCAAAGCCGGCAAGCAAAUAUGCUGUCUAAGGCAAAACCAAUGACUGGGGUGAAGUCGUAACAAGGUAAC
rnacentral:rRNA from 1 species